GCGCGAGUGGUGAAAUUGGCAUACACGCAACCUUGAGGUGGUUGUGCCUUUACAGGCGUGGAGGUUCAAGUCCUCUCUCGCGCACAA
rnacentral:tRNA from 1 species